GGAUAGAGGUGCGGUUUUAAAGAGUAUCACGCGGGAGGGUGCCAAAGCCCGGGAACGCCUGUGAAAGGGAAAACCGCCGAAGGAGAGCGGCGUUUGGCCGGCGUUCUUCUGGGGGCAGAGUGAAGAACGCUGCAACUGUCAUCAUAGAUUUAUGAUGGAGCGCUAUCGG
rnacentral:ncRNA from 1 species